UACGUAGGGUGCAAGCGUUAAUCGGAUUUACUGGGCGUAAAGCGCGCGUAGGCGGCUAAUUAAGUCAAAUGUGAAAUCCCCGAGCUUAACUUGGGAAUUGCAUUCGAUACUGGUUAGCUAGAGUGUGGGAGAGGAUGGUAGAAUUCCAGGUGUAGCGGUGAAAUGCGUAGAGAUCUGGAGGAAUACCGAUGGCGAAGGCAGCCAUCUGGCCUAACACUGACGCUGAGGUGCGAAAGCAUGGGGAGCAAACAGG
rnacentral:rRNA from 1 species